rnacentral:rRNA from 1 species
GACGAACGCUGGCGGCGCGCCUAACACAUGCAAGUCGAACGAGCGAGAGAGAGUUUACUUUUUCGAGCGAGUGGCGAACGGGUGAGUAACGCGUGAGGAACCUGCCUCAAAGAGGGGGACAACAGUUGGAAACGACUGCUAAUACCGCAUAAGCCCACAGCUCGGCAUCGAGCAGAGGGAAAAAGGAGCAAAUCCGCUUUGAGAUGGCCUCGCGUCCGAUUAGCUAGUUGGUGAGGUAAAUGGCCCACCAAGGCGACGAUCGGUAGCCGGACUGAGAGGUUGAACGGCCACAUUGGGACUGAGACAACGGCCCAGACUCCUACGGGAGGCAGCAGUGGGGAA